AGCAGCCGCGGUAAUUCCAGCUCCAAUAGCGUAUAUUAAAGUUGUUGCAGUUAAAAAGCUCGUAGUUGAAUUUCGGGAUUGGCGCAUCGGUCGUGCCUCACGGGGUAUGAACUGGUGCAGUCAAUUUCUCACCUUCUGGAGAACCGCGAUGUCCUUAAUUGGGUGCCGCGGGGAACCAGGACCUUUACUUUGAAAAAUUGAGUGUUUAAAGCAGACAUUUUUGCUUGAAUACAUUAGCAUGGAAUAAUAAAAUAGGACGGCAUGGUUCUAUUUUGUUGGUUUCUAGGACCACCGUAAUGAUUAAUAGGGAUAGUUGGGGGCAUUAGUAUUCAAUUGUCAGAGGUGAAAUUCUUGGAUUUAUUGAAGACUAACUACUGCGAAAGCAUUUGCCAAGGAUGUUUUCAUUAAUCAAGAACGAAAGUUAGGGGAUCGAAGACGAUCAGAUACCGUCGUAGUCUUAACCAUAAACCUAUGCCGACUAGGAAUCAGACGAUGUUUAAAUUUUUAAUGUACUUCGUUU
rnacentral:rRNA from 1 species